rnacentral:sRNA from 1 species
GGGGAAGGAUGAGAAGCUUCGACUAAGGUUCGAUUCGAGCGAAAGCGAGAAAGCGUUGCCGCAGGCAACGACCCGAAGGGCGAAGCGCGCAGCGCUGAGUCAUCCUUCCCCCACCACCA